GUGACCUAGUCAGUCAGAUAGUGAUCCCCAUGGACAGAGACAGAAAACACUUUCUGUACUUAUUUCUGAACUCAACACAAGGGUUAUUCUUCAUAUCACAGAGGUGCAAUCUGUAAUGGGUUACAGUCAGUGACUACCUGUUAACUUCUCUUCAGUAAAGUUGGGGUGAUGGAGAUAGUGGUUUGCAGAUGAAAAGAGCAACCAUGCAACUGCGUUGGUUGUCUCUGUAUUUGUGCUCUCGGUGUCCUAUCCAUUUUGAAACAAGAGCAGCCAUAUUAAAAUAUAAUGCAUUGCUUUGUUACUUUGUGCCACAGGUGGUUUAACCAUUUGAUGCACAACAUAUUGACCCCCUUCUAAUCCACAACAUGGUCAAAAAUGACCCUCAUUCAUUCCCUUCAUGUUAUUUAAUGCUGCUGUGUGUUUCUGUGCUCUAUCUUUUGAUAUCAACUUAUUUUAUGAUUGAAUAUUCCAAGUAUCCUUUAAAUAUCUUGUUUUUGAUAACAACAGAUCAUUAUUUCCAUUUUGCCUCUCAUACUUUAUGAAGAAAAAACGUUUUUGUAUUAUUACAUAGCUAACUACUUGGCUAAAUAACUUGCUAAGCUAAGUAGUUAGCUUAGCAAGAAACUUAGCCAAGAAGUUAGCUAAGUAGUUAGCUUAGCAAGCUACUUAGCUAAAUACUUAGCCAAGAAGUUAGCUAAGUAGUUAGCUUAGCAAGCUACUUAGCUAAAAAAUGGAGAUGGGUCAUUUUUGACCCAUGUUGUGCUUUAGAAGAGUAGUGACACAGAAAGGGAUUUUAUAAUAAUAAAGGAAAACAUAAAAUUAGGAUGUAUGAUGAUCAAAAACAAACUAAUUGACGAAAACCGGUCACUUUAGACCCAUGUUGUGCAUCAAAGGGUUAACUGAAUAUUGGACCUGAUGAGGAAGCAAGAAUGAGUUAAUCUUCAACUCAUUGGAUAACAAUGGACAACUUUCCUGUGCUUCACUGUACUUCUGAUAACUUUAAUCACUUAAAUUCCAAGAUAUGACCACACAGAUCUAUGAGAGCUAAAUCUAUGUAAAACAAGUAAUAAAUUGUUAUGUUUUAUAUAGAGGUGGGAAGAAGUGUUAAGUUUGAACUGUCCACCAUUAAAUACCUUGUCGGUCUACCAUCCAGCUCAUCAUAGGAUUCACCGGUUAACAUUUCAUUGUGACUUUGCCAGAUGGCUUUACAAUCGACUUACCGAACCACUUCGGUGCUGAGCAGUACAACCACUACAACUUCACUAGAGGAGUUUGUAUCACACAUUUUCUUAAAAUUCAUUCAAUUGUUGUUGUUUUUUUAAAGAAGUGCAUCAGCAGGCCACAUAUAGCCCCAGCUUUAAAAAUCCUGAAUACCAUGUGGUGUCAGUCGUGCCCGCAAAAGGGCGUAGUAGUUGUGAAUGAUGCCAAGGUUGUUCUGGAGUGUGAAGCAUGGAAACACAAAAUAAAGAUUAAAAAGUCACUGUUGGGCCAAAACCCAAACGAGAUCUCGUCCCAUGAGAUAUUAAAACUUUAUAUUUCUUGUUGAGUGACUAAAGAUGACUAAAGAUAUUUUAUUCUGGAGUAACUUGUUAACCUUAUACAAUAUGAAUCACAAAUCUUAUCUUUUAGAUAGUUAUUAGAUUGAUGAUCAUUUUCUACUAACCAGUCAGAAUUGCUCACAAAGUAAUUGUUUAAGAUCGCUGUUUUGCGGAAUAAGAGAGCUAACUCUAAGUUUGUUUGUUUUAAAGUUAGUAGUUCAUUUGUAUCAUGUAUCUUGUCAUCAUCAUAUUCUGUGAUCCUGUGAAGGAUCAGUGAGGCGAGGCCCUGCAGCAUUUUCACUUCUUCUCAGCUCGACUUGACCCACUAAAUCUGCGUAAGUAUAACUUUUACUUAUAUGUUCUUCUCCUGUGUUGCCUGUAUUUUUAAUGGCUCAAGUGAACAAGCAGGGUCCGGUCAUAUUUUAAAGUGACACUGACAGCUGUGUCACUUCUCUCUCUGUGACUGCAGAUGGAACUAAAGCAGCUGAAGCAUGCUUAAAGUAAACCAGCUCAUUGUCAAUAACUAACAGUAUUUUGCUUUUUAGCGGUCUGAGCUUUUUCAGAUUGCCUUUUAUGUUUAAAAUAUUCACCACAGAGCUCACAAACAGUACGUGCACAUUAGUCACCUAAUAUACAUUUUCUCAAUUUUUACGUUACAUAAAUCCAAAUCAAAUUAAAAGAUAAAAUAAAAAUAUAUAGACACGCCCACUUUAUUCUAAUCCCUCACAGUUUGGGGCAAAAAAAUGCAAUUCUUGCAGAUAUUGCCAAAAAAAUGUCUAACAUUUUUGAUACCAAGUUAGAGCAUGGAUUUUUCUAUGGUGUUCCUCAAGAUCUAGGUGUUUUAAAAUUAUACCUGGAGGGAAAUGUGGCAUCAUCUAUGUGGCCUCUACUGUUACCUGCUAUCUCCCCCAAAAGAUCUUCUGUCUGUCCUAAUAAAAGACAAAAAUUGUUUUAUGGUGGAUCUCAAAGGGUUAAAUUUAUUAAAAUAUGAAGUAAAAAAUAUAUAAGCCCUCAUAGGGCUGCUAUAUUUGUACUCGCUGCCCCGACAACAGUUGACGGUUUUCCAGAUACACCAUUUGACAAAAUGACAAAUGUUAAACAGCGAUAAUCUGUGUUUCACUAUCAAAUAACAGAUGUUCAAGCAUCGUUUCCUAAUCGUGGCACAGCUCAGUAUUCCCCUGCCACAUGUACAGUAGCAACCAAGCGGACGUAUUUCUUCUGUGCUCAGCCUUUUUUUCAAAUGUGUACUUGUCAUCCAGUAUUGAACAUUUCAACAGGUCCAUGGAUGGGCGGAGCUGGAAUCUUUGUCCAGUUGGCCAAUGGGAUGAUAGUUGAAAAGAUGUUGUGUAAUUUCCAAGGAAGAAGUGAGGAUAAAAGAGUUGGCAGAGGCUGCUGCUGGUUGCCUAAAGCUGCAAUAAUAAAUGGAUCUUGUAAAUUUCACUAGUAUUUCCACAUAAUAACAUACUUUAACCUCCCUGUUUUUUUUUUCUGCACAGAGUAUGAUUGUUAAGAACAUGUCCUUCAAGGACAGGCAGGCCAUGACUCUUGGUGUAUUCGUAAAGCCUGAUGCUCACUAAUAAUGAUCACAGGUUCAAGGUCAGAAGUAGACCUGAUUGGGACGUCAUCACACGAUUGAAUGGCAGUUAUCAUUCCCAUAAUUAUGGUUUUUCAGUGAAAAUUGGCCCUGAUAAGGAGGAUAUUACUAUGCAUAUCGAUGUCCGGUUUGACCACAUGGGAUACAAGAAUACGAUAGCACUCAACUCAUAUCAGGGAGGCUGUUGGCAAGAGGAGGUGUUUCCUGG